rnacentral:lncRNA from 1 species
GCUAUGGAACAUGUGUUUACUCCAUUGGAAUGUCUGCUUCCCACUGGGCCCAGAGCAGCUUGCAUCAUUAAAAAGGUGGACAUGGAGUCAGAAUAAAGCUUACCCACUAACAGGAGGAAAAGAAGUAGAAACUACUUACUGUGGAACCAGUCCCAGCCUGAAGCCCAGCUAUAUAUCCAACAGGUAAGCAAGUCAUUGUAGUAUCUUUUUAACAUAGAUGAGAUGAACAACAGACUUACCUGAAUGAGCUUAAUGUCAGGACUGAGCAAGUAAGCUACUGCAAAUACAGUUUGAUAACUGACCUCAAAAUCUAGUGUUGUGCAUGGGGAAGAAAGAAACUACCUCUUUCUAUCUGAAUUUCAGAAUAUGUAUUGUAGUAUGCCGUUCAGAAACACUUCUUAUCCUUGAAUGUUACUGAUAUUAAACAUUUUUCAGACUUUAGUUGCUCUGUGAGAGAAAAUAAAAACAGAAAUCCGACAACA